GAUAUAAGUGUCAAAAGUCAAAAUGCGUUCCUGCUUGCAGGAAAAGCAUGUUGACCUUAUGACACGCUGAAACAUGAGAAAGUAGCUGCUUUCGUAGAAAACAAGCGGAUUCCGAAUGUUUCAAGGAUUGCGAGAAUUUUCGUAGAAAAUGGAGAAAUCCGUAU
rnacentral:sRNA from 1 species